rnacentral:rRNA from 1 species
GGAGGAAAAGAAACCAACAGGGAUUGCCUCAGUAACGGCGAGUGAAGCGGCAAGGAGCUCAACUUUGGAAUCGCUCCGGCGAGUUGUAGUCUGGAGGUGGCCACCACGAGGUGUUCUAGCAGCAGGCAAGUCCUUUGGAACAAGGCGCCAGCGAGGGUGACAGCCCCGUACCUGCUUUUGCUAGUGCUUCCUGUGGCCCACCGACGAGUCGAGUUGUUUGGGAAUGCAGCUCUAAGUGGGUGGUAAAUUCCAUCUAAGGCUAAAUAUUGGCGAGAGACCGAUAGCGAACAAGUACAGUGAUGGAAAGAUGAAAAGCACUUUGAAAAGAGAGUGAAACAGUACGUGAAAUUGUUGAAAGGGAAGGGCUUGCACCCAGACACGGUUUCGGCCGGGCCAGCAUCAAGUAGAACGGGGUUAAAAGACCUGGGGAAUGUAGCUACCUCUUGGUAGUGUUAUAGCCCUUGGGUGAUGACCCCUGUUUUGCUUGAGGACAGCGGUCUCUAGGAUGCUGGCGCAAUGGUUGCAAGCCACCCGUCUUGAA